AACUGGAAAUGCAACCCAAUUUUUCUCUCGAGUGAUGUCAAGAGAUGGCAAGGAAGGUGUUGCAACAUUCUAGCCAGAAAGCUAUUUUCUUCCCACUUUGGAAGGGCCUCAGAGAAUGACAGAAGUGGCCAUGAUAUGAAAGGAACAACUGACAGAUUUUGAUUUCUCUUGGCUGACAGCUUCAUUUUAGGACUUUGUUUGUCAACGACAUCCAGACCUAUGCAGCUGGAAGACUGACUUCAACAAAUCUAAAUGUCUCUUUAAGAGUCUAAGCAACCUAUUCCUUUUUUUCCAGGUACCCAUUUAUCUAUAAUUAAGUCAGCAUUAAAGGGAUUUCCCACCAACUUCUAUCUAAAGCUGCAAAAAGGAUGACUAGCUACUGCCUGAAGUGGGUUUAACAGAUCCUGGGGUGAGCACUAGGAAAGCCUUCCAUAGAAAAAUGGCUGGGUAUGAAACAUGAAGAAAGAUGUCAUUCACAUUGUCCCUCAUUACUGAAUUGAUUAUUUUGAUUUGAAUUUCUGAAUUCUGUUCCUUUGGACAGCUCUGUUCCUUAGGAUUCUGUUCCUUAGAAUAGCAGGUGUUACUGCUAUUAUGCUCUUGAGGUUAAUUGGUCCUAUCAUAUAGAUACAUACAUAUGUGUGUGUGUGUGUGUGUAUCUCCUUCCUUCCUCACCAAUACACGCUCACACUAUAGGCUUGAUGUCUUUAUUGAGAAAACAUGUUACUCCUUUUAUUACUGAUUGUGAAAAGUAAUACCCGCCUGCUUCUGCACAUGGCAUUAGGAGAACACCUGAACCUUCUCCCUUUGAAUCCCAGGCAGAAUGCGAGCUUGCAUUUGGAGGAUAAAGAAACACAUUUUUUUCAUCAGCAGAAUUGGACUAUUAAUUAUCCUCCAUAGAAUUACAGAGGGAAAAAAAUCAACUAAGUGCAAUCUGAUCUCAUCUUAUUUGUUCUUUAAUCCUUCUAAGAAUCAGUCUUUGAUAUUUAGGACAUGAGCAGAGAAGAGCAACAACAAUAAUGACGGAGGAGAGGACUGUCUAUUUAUACUCCCCCAACAUUUCUUAUCACUCUGAAUUGUGAUUUUAUUUGUAUUUGUCUUUCUCACCCUAGACAGGCAUCUAUAGAACAAGGACAGGGUCUAAUUCAUCUCUCUGUAUGCCCAGCACAGAACACAGCAUCUGAGACAUAGAAAAUACUCAGAGAGUAUUUGUUGACUAAGUAAAUGACUGGGUCUGCAAAAGCAAAAGGCAUCACCCAAACAACUAUUUCCAUUGUAUUAUUUUCUACUCUCAGAAAAACUCCACUGCACUUGCCAGCAGUACCAUAUCUGGAUUUGGAGGAAACCACACAUUCUAAUCCCAUCAAAUGGCAAAUACACAUUUGAUUGGGCCUCUGCAAGCAAUAGCCUCCUCGUUGGCCAGGGUCAGGGAGAACAGAGAUUGAGAAUCUGAAGGCCUGUUUUUAGUCUCUGCCAUUAGCUUAGCCACCCUGGGCAAGUCCCUGAAUGUAACUAAACUUCCAUAUUCUUCUUUGUAAAAUAGAGAAGUUUGACACAGAAAUAUUUGAUCUGGGUACUAUAGGUUCAUGAAUGAAUAUCAAGGGAAGUCUGUGAACUUCCUGAAAUUGUGUGUAAAAUGUUAUGGCUAUCUGAGUCAUAUGUAUUUUUGCAUUUUUAAGGAACAAAGGGUUUAUAGCUGUCAUUAAGUUUUUUAAAGGAAACCAACUUUUAAAAACAAGAGGUUAAGAAACUCCUGAAUAGUUAAUUUUGAUAUCUCUUUUUUCUAUAAAAUGUCUACACUUCUAAGAAAACAUCUAAAACUGCUUUAGCCCACAAUAUAUAUUUUUUCCUCUGAUUGUCCAUUCUCCCCAUGAUCAGUCACCACCUCAAUAUACUUGAAACAUUUAUGCAAGGCCAGGGUAAACGUCAUCUACCUUAGCUGAAUCUGGAGCUAGGUCUUUGACUUCUCCAAAUUCCACACAGUAAUUAUCACAGUCAUGCCCAUAGUAAAUAUUGGAUGAAAACUUUCACAGAUUUAUUUUAUCCCAGAACACUGACUCUUUUUCCCUCCAAUAUUCUAUGCCUUGCAGGACCAGGACCAUAAUUAUCAUCUAUCUCAAAGGUGCUCAGGAGGCAGAUAUUAGAGGGAAUAUUUACUAUGAAUGUUCUCAUAAAAGGCCAACAGGAUGAGGUGAUUGUCCAGGAGCUUUGAGGGCACUAAGUGAAAAGAGAGUGAUUUCUGAUCUACUCAGGUGCGGCAGGGAGGCCAUGUGUGAAGGGAGUGCCCAGGGUCUGUGGUAGCAGCUCCAUGAGUAAAAACCAUUGCCUCAUCAUCUAAAGAAGCCAAAAGCAAGGGGUGAAGGAAGAAAAUAGUUUUGUUAGUGUACCUGUAUUAGUUUCCUAUUGUUCCUGUAACAAAUUAUCACAAAUGUAGUGGAUUAAAACAAUAUAAAUUAAUAAUCUUACAGUUCUUGAGGUCAGAAAUCUAAAGUAGGUCCACAGGGCUGCAACUCUUCUGGAGGCCCUGGGGGAGAAUUCCUUUCCUUGACCGUUCCAGCUUCCAGAGGCCAACUGUAUCCUUUGGCUCAUGGCCCCCUUUUUCUGUCUUCAAAGACAGCAGCAUAAGCCAGGCAUGGUGGCUCAUACCUGUAAUCCCAGCACUUUGAGAGGUGGAGACCAGGAGUUUGAGACUAGCCUGGAUAACAUAGCAAGACUCCAUCUCCACCAAAAAAAAAAAAAAAAAAAAUUAAAAAUUAGCCAGGUAUGGUAACAUAGACCUGUAGUCUCAGCUGUUCAGAAGGCUGAGGCAGGAGGGUCACUUGAGCUCAGGAGUUCAAGGCUGCAGUGAGCUAUGAUCAUAUUACUGCACUCCAGCCUGAGUGACAGAGAGUGAGACUCUGCCAAAAAAAAAAAAAUCCAGCAGCAUAGCAUCUUCAAAUCUCUCUCCAUCCUUCUGCCUGACCCUCUGUCAUCUCUGUCAUCACAUUGCCACUGUCUGACUCUGAUUCCUCCUACAUAAUUGUUAUAAAGGUCUGUGACUACAUGGGCCCUCUCUGGAUAAUCCAGAAUAAUCUUUCCAUCACAAGAUCUUUAAUUUGAUCACAACUGCAAAGUCCUUUUUGCUAUACAAGGAAACAUUCACAGUUUCUGGGAUUAGGAGGUGGACAUGCUUGGGGAGUCAUUAUGCAGCCCACCACAAUACUUUAUGUUGCUUGAGUCUAUUUAUUUAUAUG
rnacentral:lncRNA from 1 species